UGAUGUUGCCCACAUGUUCCAACACAACUCAACGAACCAAACUCCAUUAUGCAUAAUAUACACUACCACAAACAUUAAGUUAGCAACACAACCCUUCAAAAAUUUGUAUUUGCUACUCAUCUAAUCAAACGAACCCUUAGGGUUUGGAGAGUGUGGUGGAUGUUGCUGGGGGCACAGGGGUGGUGGCUGGCUCGUUUCCGGACAUGAAAUGCGUUGUGCUCGACCUUCCACGAGUGGUUGAUGGGCUUGAGGGGUCUGAGAAUCUGAGUAGAUACUCCACAACUGGAGUGAAGAAGAUUGUGCUAGGAUAUUGAAAAAAUGCAAAGAAGCAAUAGGUGGGAUUGGGAAUGGUGGGAAAGUGAUAAUUGUGGAUGUGGUUGUGGAUUGUGGGAAACAAGAGCAUACUGCCUUUCAAACUCAGCUGUCUUUUUGAUGUGCUGACGAUGACUGUGUUGGCCGGAAAAGAGAGAACUGAGAAAGAGUGGGCUCACCUCUUUUCUUCAGCUGGCUUCCAAAAUUAUAAAAUCACUCCUAUCUUAGGAUUGAGGUCUGUAAUUGAAGUAUUUCCAUGAUUAUCUAAUAAUGUUGGUGUAUGCUUCGGUACUAGUUAAUUCUUCAAUUCUGUAGUAGUAUAUCAUAAUUUAUCUUUUUA